rnacentral:rRNA from 1 species
CCUACGGGAGGCAGCAGUGGGGAAUAUUGCACAAUGGGGGAAACCCUGAUGCAGCAACGCCGCGUGAGUGAAGAAGGUUUUCGGAUUGUAAAGCUCUGUUAGCAGGGAAGAGGAAGGACGGUACCUGCAGAGGAAGCCACGGCUAACUACGUGCCAGCAGCCGCGGUAAUACGUAGGUGGCAAGCGUUGUUCGGAAUAACUGGGCGUAAAGGAUGCGUAGGCGGUUAAACAAGUUAUAUGUUAAAUAUAUAGGCUUAACCUGUAGAAAGCAUAUAAAACUGUUUAACUAGAGUGCAGGAGAGGUAAGUGGAAUUCCUAGUGUAGCGGUGAAAUGCGUAGAUAUUAGGAGGAACACCAGUGGCGAAGGCGGCCUGCUGGACGACAACUGACGGUGAGGCGCGAAAGCGUGGGGAGCAAACAGGAUUAGAUACCCCAGUAGUC